CGACUAAGCCAUGCAAGUGAUAGGAAUUUAGUUCCUACGCGAAUCGCUCAGUAACACGUCGAUAACCUACCCUUACGCAGGGAAUAAACUUGGAAAACUGAGUAUAAUGCCCGAUUUGUAAUGUUAUCUGGAAUUGAGACAUUGCGCAAAGAUUUAUCGUGUAAGGAUGGGUUGGCGGCCGAUUAGAUUGUUGGCGGGGUAAUGGCCCACCAAGUCUACGAUCGGUAGGGGCCUUGAGAGAGGGAGCCCCGAGAGGGUCACUGAGAAAUUGGACCUAGCCCUACGGGGUGCAGCAGGCGCGAAACCUCAUCAAUGCACGACAGUGUGAAUGGGGGACUCUACGUGCUCAUGCUUAGCAUGGGCUUUUGCAUAGUGUAAAUAGCUAUGCGAAUAAGGGGUGGGAAAGACCGGUGCCAGCAGCCGCGGUAACACCGGCGCCUCAAGUGGCAUUCAGUAUUACUGGGCCUAAAGCAUCCGUAGCCGGAUGUGUACCUCUUUCGUGAAAUUGUUUGGCUUAACCAAACAGCGUGCAGAAGACACUGCAUAUCUAG
rnacentral:rRNA from 1 species